rnacentral:rRNA from 1 species
AUGAACGCUGGCGGCGUGCCUAAUACAUGCAAGUCGAGCGAACAGACGAGGAGCUUGCUCCUCUGACGUUAGCGGCGGACGGGUGAGUAACACGUGGAUAACCUACCUAUAAGACUGGGAUAACUUCGGGAAACCGGAGCUAAUACCGGAUAAUAUAUUGAACCGCAUGGUUCAAUAGUGAAAGACGGUUUUGCUGUCACUUAUAGAUGGAUCCGCGCCGCAUUAGCUAGUUGGUAAGGUAACGGCUUACCAAGGCAACGAUGCGUAGCCGAACUGAGAGGGUGAUCGGCCACACUGGAACUGAGACACGGUCCAGACUCCUACGGGAGGCAGCAGUAGGGAAUCUUCCGCAAUGGGCGAAAGCCUGACGGAGCAACGCCGCGUGAGUGAUGAAGGUCUUCGGAUCGUAAAACUCUGUUAUUAGGGAAGAACAAAUGUGUAAGUAACUAUGCACGUCUUGACGGUACCUAAUCAGAAAGCCACGGCUAACUACGUG